GCAGAACGCGAAGAACCUUACCUGGGUUUGACAUGGCCGCAAAACCGGCAGAGAUGUCGGGUCCUUCGGGGCGGUCACAGGUGGUGCAUGGCUGUCGUCAGCUCGUGUCGUGAGAUGUUGGGUUAAGUCCCGCAACGAGCGCAACCCUCGUUCGAUGUUGCCAGCGGUUCGGCCGGGGACUCAUCGAAGACUGCCGGGGUCAACUCGGAGGAAGGUGGGGAUGACGUCAAGUCAUCAUGCCCCUUAUGUCCAGGGCUUCACGCAUGCUACAAUGGCCGGUACAAUGGGCUGCGAUACCGUGAGGUGGAGCGAAUCCCAAAAAAGCCGGUCCCAGUUCGGAUUGAGGUCUGCAACUCGACCUCAUGAAGUCGGAGUCGCUAGUAAUCGCAGAUCAGCAACGCUGCGGUGAAUACGUUCCC
rnacentral:rRNA from 1 species